CAACAGGUUCAAAAUUGAACUUGUUUUGCUAUAAAUGGCCUCCCGCACAGUUGUAUACAAAGCUGAAGUGGGUACCACAGCCAUGAAAGGAAUAGUAGUUACAAAGGUGGGUUGGAGAGGAACUGAGGAAGUUGUGGAUGCUCAAGCCUUGUGCAAGAAGAGGGAAUGAGAAAACUGAGAAGAUGCUUGUGUUUUUAUGGUUUAUUAUCCUUAGAUUAUAUUUGACUAUUUGUUGUGGCGAAUUGGCCGGGUUUUCCUACCAAAUUCUCAGGGAGGAAUGUCGAGGGGUUUAGAGUUGAAUUUAAGGUCUACCAAUAAUAUAGGAUGAAAUUUGUGGUGUGUGUUUCAGUUAUCUUAUGAACAAGUGAGACCACCAUUAAUUUAAAUCUCUCAUACACUUUGUUAA